GUCCUGGUUGAACUGCAGGCUGUUGACUCCUCUCUGCUGAGCCAUAGUUGCUGAGGUACCACUGCCGAGCUGUUACCAGUAAACUACGGCUUCUGUUUCAAGCUCCAAACUGUAAGAAACGCGAAAACACGGCACGAGUUCAAAGGCCGUACAUGGACAUGGACCAGGCUGUGUCAAGGGCAUCGACAUAAGAAGACACUGCGCUUACCACACAGCCAGUGGAGGGGCCAUAGAACAAGAGAAAAGGCACCCUGAAAUGCAAAUUGGCUAAAUGUUGUGAAGAAACAGGACUCUCAUGGAUUCAGGCACUACCAGAAGUGACCAUGAUGAUCCCACCAGCCGUCUGCCAGGACGACGGCUCGGAUCAACAGUAACACUCUAAUUGCACGCUAUUGCAUUGACACUCUGGACGAGGACAUGACAACAUGCAGUGACGCAGCAAUAAAAGACUGAGAAAUACUUUGUGUUGUUGCACCCAUGACUGACGAUGACUGUGCUACAGACUUGUUCUCACGGGACAAAGAACACUGUGAGACUUCAUCUGAUACUAGUGAUGACUCUGACACCGAAAAAGACUACUUUGUGUAAAUAGUGAUACUUAUGCUCUCAUAAACAAUGACUGUUCUAUUCUUUUUGCUAAGCUUUAUCAUCAGAGGUGCUCUCACUUCUACAAAAACAGCUCUUGGCCUUUUCUGUGAACAUUUUAUGAUGAUAGCUACUGAAAAUCUUUGUGAAUUUGGCUAUGCUGAUGUUUCGGUGUUCACUCUGUGUUGCUUAAUAAUAAUCAAAGGGGAGGGAAUGUAAUGGAAAUUUCAUGUAUGUGAAAGUAUUUUCUUUUGUGAUAGAACUUAUAUAUAUAAUCCAGUGAGUAAUGUUAUUUGUUCGAUGUGUUAUGAAACAUUGCAUUUAGCAUAAGAUGAUCAAAUCUAUGAACACUCUGUUCUUUGUAUGUUACACGUUUCACUGAGUUGUUACAUUUUUGACUCCUUAGCAACAAUGGAGAUAUUAAAGGAGGCACAGAGAGAGAGGUUUCAGAACUACACUCUUGCAGGUCAACUGCACCUUUUCCUGUGUACUUCUCUUCCUGCAAGAAUAAACCAACAGAAAGACACCUUUGAUUGACUCUUAUUAAUUCA